CGGGGGCCGAGGGGCGGGCAGCCGCCCUGGUAGCUCCGUGGCACCCUGCGGACUCCCUCUGGGCGGAAUUUUGGGCGCCCACGCUCUGCUCUUGCCCAUCUAGUCGCGAACCCGGGAGUGGGCCUCUCACUUGUGUCCAGUUUCUGGUCCAAGAAGCAUGUCUCAGAUAAAAGUGACCAGCAAAAGGAAUGACCUCAUCUCUCUGGGUCACGUUGUCAGCUUGCCUAAUCUCUGGCUCCCUCUAUGACUCAGAUCGGUGUCAAGGAUGAGGACAGAUUUCGGCAACAAAUUUGGCAACCAUGAAGGGACCUGAGAGCAACCCCUGUUUUAGCUGCAGGUGUGGCUUUCCAACCGACCCCCACUUCUAUGCUGAGGAUGCAAGGUAGCUGAUGAGUUUGUUGAAAACCAACAGCUGGAGAAAUUGGGAGACACUGUGAGUUUGCCUCAGACCAAACUGGGGGAGCUGUUCCUGUGAGCAAAGGGAGGGGCCGAGGAACCAUCCCAGCAACUGCUGAAGAUUUUUUUUGCUUCAGACCUGGACCACUCCACACAUGGUGCCUGGGUUAGAGAGAAUGAAACAUGCCUAUCCCGUCCCACGUGACAACAAACAGGUCACUCCGAGAAUCUCUAGAGAUGGCUCCUCUCUGCUUAUCUGCAUGAAGGGAACAGGUGGAACACACAAGAGUGGUGACACACAGCUUAGACUUUAUCCUGUGGGCAAUGAAGAGCCGUGGAAGGAUUCCCGUCAUGCUAAAGCAGGACUUCAGAAAAAUUAAUGAAGCAGUAAAGGAUUGGAGAGAGACUUGAGACUGGGAUGUAAGGUGGGAGGGAGGAGGCCUGAGACAAUGUGGUUGACAAACUUUGUAACUAUGUGACACAGACAGUGUGUCACUAUAGUAGUUAGGGACAGAGGAGUCACCUCAGUGAGUUAAUCAUAGUAAAAUAUGCAAAUGUACUUUAGGUUUUUAACCCCCUCACAAACCGUUUCUUAUCUAUCUUUGAGGUUAUCCUUAAACAUUAAUGAGGUGUUUGUAAGAAAAGUAUUAAGCAAUCUUAGAGGUCCCCCUGAAAAUAAUCAAGAAAUCACACAGUUGUUUAAAGCAUUUUUUUGUAUGUUCAUGGAAUAAUGUAUGAAUGUCCUCUGUAUAUAUCACAUGGCCUUCUUUAAAAUGAAUAAACCUGC